rnacentral:sRNA from 1 species
GUCGUGAGAUGUUGGGUUAAGUCCCGCAACGAGCGCAACCCCUGUCCUUAGUUACCAGCGGAUAAUGCCGGGGACUCUAGGGAGACUGCCGGUGCCAAACCGGAGGAAGGUGGGGACGACGUCAAGUCAUCAUGGUCCUUACGUCUAGGGCUACACACGUGCUACAAUGGGCCGGACAGUGGGGGCCGAGGCAACAAUGCCAAGGCAAUCCCAAAACCGGUCCUCAGUUCGGAUUGUCGUCUGCAACUCGACGGCAUGAAGCUGGAAUCGCUAGUAAUCGUGGAUCAGCAUCGCCACGGUGAAUACGUUCCCGGGCCUUGUACACACCGCCCGUCACGCCAUGGAAGCUGCGAGCGCCCGAAGUCGGUGCCGGAACCCGCAAGGGGCCAAGCCGCCGAAGGCGAGCGUAGUGACUGGGGCGAAGUCGUAACAAGGUAGCCGUAGGGGAACCUGCGGCUGGAUCACCUCCUUAACGGAGAGCGAUGAGUAAGGCUACUCGAUGCAAAUCGCGUAACUCGAAAAUCCUCACUGAGUUCGCUCGUCUCGUAUCAUCCUUGAUCUCAACAUCGGUUUACCAAACGUUCGACAGGCGUCGAAAUCUGCCGAACGCAUUUUGUGCCCUCGUGACCCAACCCAUCGGGAAGCGUUGGAGCAAGCUGUUUGACAACGGAAAGUAGUAGUGAUCGUGGGAUUCGAUGUUUCGGGCCUGAUAAGACCCGGAGCGUCAAGAAUCAACACUGAUUCAAUUUCGUCGCGCUCUGAUUCGUUUAUUCGAAUUGGAAAGCGAGCAAAGAUUGAUUCAUUCGUAAGAUUGCGCGUUGUAUGGUUGUUUUGCUUUGAGACAGAAAUCUGAUCAAGCGAAAGAAGGUAUGUGGGGGAUGCCUGGGUACACGGAGGCGAUGAAGGCCGUGGUAAGCUGCGAUAAGCCAGGGGGAGCGGCACACACGCUAUGAGCCCUGGAUGG